UCAUUAUUUUUUUGUUAGUUUACCCGGAAGCAAAAUUCCUGAGUGGUUGAACUGUGAAGGCCCAGGAAAUUCAACAGCAAUUUUGUUCCCUCCUGGUUGCUUCAAUAAUAUGUUCCUGGGUUUUGCUUUUUGUGUUAUUCUAGAAUUCAAGGCUCCUGUUCAUGUGCAUUUUUUAGACUUCACAUGUCAAAGCAAUUUCAAAAGCAAUAAUGGCUAGAGAGAGGCCAAUUUUAGAUUUCUAAACUGGUUUUCGGAAACUACUUUUGAAUUAGAUCAUGUGUUCUUUUGGUACGAUGGCGAGGACACUUCCUCUUUAGAUUGGCUCAAACAAAAUUGUUACAUUGAGAUCGAGGCAUCAUUCAAAUUCAAAGCGACAGACGAAAAGGUGAAAGUGAAAAGGUGUGGGUUCCACUUAUUAUACACCAAUGAUGAGCUAAACAAUUGCAAUCCUUACAUAUGUGGAGAAACCAAUCCAGAUUUUCUGGAGCAAUUCAAAGAAACAACAAAUGCCAACAAUAAGAGAAGCAGGGAAGACUUCUACUCCAGUAAUAUCAAUGGCAACCAGGAGGUGGAAACACACACUAAAAGAUUGAGGCAAAAGCCCUCUAUGGAAGAUUACUUUUCAAAUGCUCAGGAUGGGAUUAAUUACGACGCUACUAUGGUUCCUUCAAGUUCUUCAUGUGAGUUUGUUUCCAAAUUCUACAAAUUUCUUUGAAAUCCAUCCCUACUAAUUGUGAAGAACUAGGGUUUGCGGCUCUCUUUCCCUACGGCAGACAUUCCUCCAUCUUCGCAUACGUCUCUAAUUCGCAUUCUAUCUGUGAUCUUGGCUCUUUUGCCCCUAUCACCACCAGCAAGCUGCGUCGACGUCUUCCAAAUCUGAGCAUCAACUUUCUGAUCUGUCGAGUCUCAUUUGUUUUGGGCAUCAACUUUCUGAUCUGGCGACUUCAGUGGCGUCUUCCAGACUCACUCCACGCCAACCCCGGCCUUCUCCAUCUCGCCAUUUAUGUUUUCAGGAGAAGAAUUGUACUGCUGAGUCUUUAGCACAUUGAAACUUGUGGUAUUGAAAUUAAGGCUCUUAUGUGAAAUUGCAUUCUGUAGCUCAUGGUGUUCAAUUCUGGUCUGAUCCUCCAAAUGAGAUAUUGAGUUUCCUCACAGCAGAUGCAGUGGCAGUGACUUUGAGUUAACUCAGGUUGCGAGCCUAUUCGUGUGACUGUAAUUGAGUUUCCUCACAGAAGAUGCACGCUAAUUUGGUCUCUUUGGAAAAACAGGAACGAAGUGCCUUGGAAUGCUAAUCAGAUUACAAGCUCUGCUUCCUCCUUCCUGCAUCAGUAGUUAGCUGCCAAAGUUAGUGACCAUCCAGCCCAUUUUGACUACUCUUCAACAGUUUCUGUGGCUGAUUUGUUGAAAUGGCCCAAGCCUGCUUCGAGAUUCUUGAAAUGCAAUACAGAAUCUUCUCCCCGUCCGGAUCAUAACAAAAUUGAGCGGGUUGGGUUCUUUGUGAUUAGAGAGGACAGCUGAUUAAGACUUGCUAAAUUGAGCUUCUUGGUCCACAUGAUCCGAAAAUUGCUGAAGCUCUCCCUCUCCAAGAAGCUCUUAGCAUGAUUGAUGAAAGAGGCAUGCAUAUCACCUAAUUUAUUAACUUAUUCGACCUUGAUUGAAUGCUGAUGUUGUUACUUAUACUGAUCUUAUAGAUGCCCUGUGCAAGAAUGGAUUAGUGAAAUCUGCUGUAACUUUAUUUGAUGAGAUGACUAAGUAGGGAAUCAAGCCUAAUGUUGUCACUUACAAGGGAACUCAAGAAAAUUGCAGUGGCAAGCAGGAAAUUUUGUCCA